rnacentral:rRNA from 1 species
GCCAUGGCUUCCUCUGAAGGUACCGUCACAUUCUUCGUCCCUUCUGACAGUGGUUUACGACCCUAGGGCCUUCAUCCCUCACGCGGCAUCGCUCCGUCAGGCUUGCGCCCAUUGCGGAAGAUUCUCG